rnacentral:lncRNA from 1 species
CGCCGCUCAGCCCGCCUCAGCGAUGUUCCGCGGGGACGGGAGCGACGGGCGGCGGCCGGGCCGAGGCGGGCCGGCUCUAGACUCGGGCCCCAGAGGAGCUGUGGGACCGCGGCUGCUACACCGAGUGCUACACCAGGCUGCAAAGAACAGAGGUACCGGUCUCAAUGGGGGCAGCGCUGCGGGGGGCGGCCGUCACGCGAGCAGCAUUUAUUUACCUGUGUGGGCAUGUGGGGACGCGCCGCGCCCCUCGGGGGCCGCCGGUACCGGGCGUCCCGCAUCACGCCUUGGAGCGUUGCCAGCCGGCGGCAGCACCGCGCAGCGCCCCGGGCCGGUCCGGAAGCGCUCGUUGUCUCCUGGAGGUCUGCGGAUCGGUGCCGCGCGGUGCUCGGGCGCUCUGCUUCUUGCGGUGCCGUUCAACGAACAGCGACAGGCGUGUAAGGAAUGGCACCCAUCCCAGAAAUCACUGCGAGUCACUUCAGAAUCUCUCUGGGGAUACCGCAGAGAAAAAAGCAGCUACUUAACAAUGAGCGAGGAUGCCCGUCUACACUGCUGUUACGGUCGCUAAUGGUUGUGUGCAAAGAGGUGCUGGCUGCUUCCCUGUAAGCGCAUACACAGCAUUUAGGAGGCUGGAGUAAGACGAUUUUCUGUGCUAUAAAUCCGAGACAGAUGGAUAUAAGGACAGGGCUUUUUUCGUCUUUUAUUCUCAAGUUUAUUAAUGAAGUGUAAAUUUGUCAGGUUGAGAUUAAAACAUACUAUAUUGAAUAGGCAACAUAAGAGUACCAUUAUUGUGAGACUAUGCAGAAUAUGAGCUAUGUUACGUUACAUUAAUAAACACCUGGUAGGGUUCCAUGCCUCAGAAUACCUUUAACAACAGAACAAAGUAAAGAAUGAAACAGCUGGCUCUGUGAGGAGCACGGCUGUGUAAGCAGGCCCACCUUCUGGCUCAUCCCUGACUGUUUUACCCAUUGCCAAAAUAAAUGCAACUAAUCAAAUUUCAACUGACUGAUGAUAAAACUGAAGACAUUUUACAUUAAAAUCCAAGAUGGGUAGUAGUCACUAAGUGAAACACAAUGAGAAGCCUUAACGCUUAAAGGACACUUAGGAAGAAAAACAACUUUCAGAGAUACCCUCUGAAGUGCUAAAUGCUGUCAUAUAGCUCCUGAUAGUGCAACUUGCUUAGACUUCAAUUAUAUAAUGCAUAUAGCUGGUACAGCAGCACACAGAGUAGAUCAACUUGUCUUCAGUUAUUUAAUCACAACUAUUUUCAGUGUGAUUCAAAUUGAAAUUGGUCAUAUAGAACACAUCUGAGAACUUGCAUAGAAAUUCCCUUCUCUGCUAACAGAGCGUUUUUGGGUAUACAGACUGAGUGUAUAUGAAAUAGAUCAUUUGAAAACUGAAACCUUCUCCAAUCUCUUCAAAGAUUUGUCUCCUCAUAUACAAUGCAAUGACAAUAAAGGGUAUUGCUGGCCAAUUGUGGAUCGGUGCUUGCUCUGUAACUUCUAGGACUGUGGUAUUUUAAUCAGACACAUUAUCUGCAGAUACUUUUUGAAAUACACAAGAAAAGGGCCUUAAAUCUCUUUAUAAUGCAGAUUAGAAGAAAGAAGGCAUUUCUGUUGGCAGAGCUGCACUGUGCCUCAGCCUGUCUUAGGAAGGAUAUUUCCUGUUUCUUCUCAGUGCCGUCACUUUUGUUUUCUUCAGAGAAGGACAAUGUUUCUGAUCCAAAUAUGCUACUCAGCCUCACAGGAGAGGUAUACUUUCUAAUGAAGCAUCAGUCCUUAUUUCUUCUUAUAAGUUGGUCACAGCUAAUAAAUCCAUCCAGUUUAAGAAUCAAAAAGUUCAGAACUGCUUAAUUUGUCUUCUUCAUACAGCAAAAUAUUUUCCAUUAGCUUCUUUUUUUGGUCAUUUAUUUUUAUUUUCCAGGAUGCCUCUCUGGCUAACGCUGAAAAACAAAAAAUUCCAAAUACUGAGGAAAAAAAAAAAUGCAUCUGUAUGUAAGGCACAGACAGCAAUUUUAAAUUAAAGAUCUGGUUUAGAAAAGAAACAGAGAAUAUUCUGUAGAUUUAUUGGUAAAUUCGUAAGCAAGGAGUAAGAACCCAAACUGUUGUAAAGACUUGGGUUAGAAGAGAAGCACGGACACUUUUGGCAAAGCACCUGGACCAUCACAUGCCAGAACGUUCUGCACCCACACUUCAGGUUUAUCUACAUUUACCUUGGGAUGAACUGGCGGAGUCAAGGUCUGCAUUUUUUGGUUGAAAUGUGCUGUGUGCAGUAGCAGCCAUUUCCAAGUUGUCAUCACUUCUGAUGCAUACUACGUUUCUUUCCCGGAGUCCAUUUGCUUUUGUUCUCUCCUUCAUCCUGCAGUCAGAGCUCGUAAUAUUUUCUGAAUUGUUAUAGUUGUUGCUGAAUAGCUCAUCUGUAGAUUUUUCUUCAGGGUUCCAGAUGAAACUCGUUGAUUCAUCUGAUUCACAAGGCACCCGAGACAUCUGUUCACAGUACGUGUCAGGUGGCACAACUCCUACUGAAGGUGUGCACUGACCGCCACUUGCCAGGAGUACUGGCUGUGUGCUAUCGUCUUUAUUCUGCCCUGCAGAAGGAGCGUCCACACUGAGGUUGGUUGUCUCAUCGUCAGUUUCUUCCGGAGUAUUCAUGGAAAACCCAGAAGUGCUGCCUCCUCCACAGAUGUAAUGCUCUCUCAAUUUAUUUUCAGCUGUUUCCAUAAUUUCCAGUACCUGUUUUUAACAACAAAAUCUGUGAAUGCAGAAUAAUCCUUAUGCCCCUUCUUACACACAUUGUCAACAGUCCAAAAAAGUUGGGAUGCAAAUGUAGCUUUCGACCUUGCUGUCAUGAAGGCUAAAUUCUCAGUCAGAUUGUUAAAAUAUUACCUCUGUUAUGUUAGAAUUCUUCUUUUUCAGACAAAGGCAGGUGGCUGAGGCAAAAUCAAUGGCAACCUCUUCCAGCAAAUGUCCUGCUUUCUUGUCCAGGUAUUUACAGCAUAUUUCCUUGGCAGCUAGCUUUUCCAAAUUCUUGUCUUUGGAGUGUGAGGUUUCUUUUGCUGUUUGGAUUUCAUCAGCAAUCAUAUCUUUCUUUUGAAAGGAGAAAGGUACAUUAGUGAAGACAAAAUUAAUACCGAUGUUUAAUUCCAUCUAAAUCACUGAGAACAGAAGUCUUCCCCUGUGCUUGUUAUUACUGCUCCUUAACGGCUGGUUUACAGACCUAAAAACUGUAAGUGAUCUCCCUUUGUACAAGUCACAGAAAUGUUGCUUUCACAGUAGAGAAAUAGCCAGAGAUUUUCUUUGCACGUGUCUGAUGUCAAAUUGCCUAAAGCAAACCCAGCUGCUCUAUGCUUAUAUCCACCUAAAGGAAUGAAAAAUCAUCAACGCUGUACAUAGCAGCAUUUUUGCACAGAACUUUUUCAAAUAUUUAUUAAAAGAAAUCAGAAACCUGGGAUCGUUUGUUUCCUGAAGCUGUUUGGACGUUGCUGAACUGUUUGGAAAUUAUACAUACAAAAACCACCAUCAUCCUCUUAAAGGCUUCAACAAUGUGGCAAACCAGAAGGAGUGCAUUGUAUAGAAGGAUUAUAGGUGGAGUCUGUUUUUAUGAAGAUGGUAUUAAUGGUAUUCAGUGAGCCUGGACAGUUCUGGCUGCUUGUGAAAGCAGUUUGUGUGGUUCUAAUGACAGCUUGGACAAAUUGGCCAGGAUACAAAUUCCAGACACCAAUGUAAUACUAAAUGCCUGAUAAACGUGGUAACGAGCAACUGCAGUUAGAGCCUACCCAGAUUCCCCACUCAGUCUGACUCAUAACACAUCUUCCUGGCACAUAAAAAACCUGCAGCAGCAUUUCAGCACAAAGUCUGAAAAUAAGGAUAUGCUUAAAACCGGUUAUGCUGCAGUGUCUCCUAACAUAAGCAAGGCCAGAGCUCAUGAGUCUGCUACGUGAUAUGGGAAUAUAUACUCAUGCCUAAAGAUGAUAAACCAUUGAUGUUAAUGGAACCAUAAUAUAACUUCUAAAAAAAUCUCUUCUUUAGGAUGUAUAAAGCAAACUGCAAGUAACAAACUGCAUUUCUAAAAAGUGUAAAUUCACUUCAUGACAGCAACCUCAUUCACUUGUGUCAGUGUUCAUUACUUCUGCUUUUCCUUACCAGAUAAAUAGGGCUCCUUCCUUCAUCCAGUGCCUUAAUCCCCGUCAGUAUCUCUGCUAAGACCUAGAAAGUUUAUUUGACAGAUAAAACAAUUUGUUCACAAUAAACUCUGUUUUUAAAUGUCUGCACCUAGAGGAAUGUUGAACUGCCGGGGCAUUUUAGAUUUUAUUUUCACUUCACACAGCUUAACGAUGCCAAAUUUGGGCAGUAUUUAUGACAGUUUAGAUCUACCUCCAGAGUCAAGUCCAGAUUUUAUAGUUAGGUACAACAGAUAAUAAAAAACCAAAUGAGGUUCAAAAGGAAGACAGUCAAUAUAAUUUUAUAUAAGAAAUGACAUCAAACAGAGUAAAUUCCUGUUAAAAUGGAAACUUUUGAGACAAGUGACAUUUUGAACUCUCAUUUCAGCUGAACUUCCAAACUGACAGAUGCUGUCUGUAGUGGUGGAUGUGACCAAUCCAUAAUAGUUGUGAGAACCUAACAGAGAACUUUCUGCUACUUUCUCCAACUACCAACAGUAAUACAUUUUUUGCAACAUUUUGCCAUUUUGUUGUUCAUAAGAUUCGCAUCACUCUGCCACAAACAGAAGUAGAUUUGGAACAUAAAAACAAUUGGAAACAGAAUCUCAGCUCGUUACAUAGUUAGCAAUUGGGAGUUAAAUUGCAGGAACAAACAACUGUGUGGGGAAUGUGCUCAUAUAUCCGUUUUCCUGUCUAUAAACAUCAAAAACUACAACAGAAGAAAGAAAAAGGCAACCUACCACACCACAGCCAAAUACGUCAACUUUUUCUGUUAACUGCCCAUGUCUGACAAAAUCUUCUGGCAGGUAAGUAAGAGAAGCUUGCAUGACUUUGGUUUUCAUCAUAGUACAUUCGGACUUUUUAUCAGCAGAGUACAGUCGCAGACCUGAAUGCCCAAGCUUUGGUGUAAAGUUUUCAUCCAGCAAGACAUUUGAGCUGUGGAAGACAAACAACACUGGUCAAGUAAUUACUUUAACUUGAUGUGAAAUUUUGCACUUUUCAAGUUAAAGCAAGGUCUGAGGGGAAAAAAUUCCAGCAUUUGGCCUGCUGUGUAACAGUGAAAGGGUAAAGACUGGGAGAAAGGGAGAGUGGAUUUAAAAAUACUCCAAAUAUUACUUCAGAAGAAUAUACUUCCCUCUUUUAUAAAAGAGAGACAAAUUAAAUGUGAUCAGGUGAAGAUCCUACAGAACAGGAGAUAGCAGAACGACACUGCAAAUGAAUAUUGACAUUAAAAAAAGCUUUCAGGUGCUUCUGUUGAAGAAAUGCUGGAAUUAAUGAGUGCACAGGUAAUGCCAAACCCCUCACCUCUUGAUAUUCCCAUGAAGAAUUCCAAAAUUGUGUAAAUACUCCACAGCUCGGAUGAGUCCCACAGAAAUACUAAGUCGUAUCUCCCACGGCAGUGGAGCAGAAUCAUCCUGCAAGGAAGUAAUGGGGAAAAAAAAGCUCAUUUUAUCUUCUUUUAACAAAGAAAACUAUAUAGCAGCAGUACAUUUUCAUUCUAAAGACUGUUUUGGUUCCACUGCAAUCACAAGCAAAAUGCCAGCUAACCUAAAUCAAAAGUUUUGUCCAAGGCAGAGUUUGUGAUUUCUAGGCCCAGGAAUGAACUACUUCUUGCACACUGUGCUGCAUGUUUUGCCUGCCUUGUGACAACAGUGAGAUAAGGAUACAGCAAAGAUCAUGCUUAUUCAAAGCAUCAAUUAUACGCCAUUGCAGAGGCACUGCACUGGUUUUGAUGGAUUGCUUUUCUGCUCCUUCUGUCAUAUCAUCUCUGCAAGUGCUCUUUCAAUAGGUGUGAACAUCUCAAACUGUUCUCUCUUAAGCCCUUCUAAAAUGUUGUAGAAGGUGAAUGAAAAUGAUGAGAACCACAUUCCCAGUUCCAGUGAAAUAUUAGGACACAGGUUUGUUUUGCAGACUAGUUAUUACUUGAAAAAUCUGAAGGCUGCAAAGCAGAAGCUUUUUAUUGACCUGAUCUGCUUUGCUGUCGUAAAACUGAAAAAGAGCGUAAUUCCUACAGACAACUUAUCUGGGCUCUUCUGGUCUGUUUCUUAGAAUUAUGGGAGAUCUCGUUGCUUUUCAUACAAUAACGUGACUUGUAAUCACAGAUAAAUAAUGGACUCAGGUUAUCUGCUUACUUGAUGCUGAAGUUUGUUCUGUAGUGAUCCAUUAGGCAGGUAUGGAUAUAUCAGGCAGUGCAACUCAGAUUCUACUGUGAAACCUAGCAGCUGCAAAAUGUUGACAUGACAACACCUGCAGGCACAGAUCAACAAUGAUUUACAAAUGAAAUGAGAGCGACACAGGAAAAUGAUUCUUAAGCUGGAAUAAAUCCCUACAUUCAAGACAAUUGGGAAUUACAUUUUGUUCUGUAGCCACAAACACAGAAUGGCCCUGACUGGGUUCACAGAAGGCUACACUAGCAGCAGAGGAGAGACAAGGCAGUUUUGAGCAGCCAGAAGGGAUACAAAGCUUCAGGAGGCACCACACCUUCACCAUCUCCAAAAGUGGCAAGGGGCUGCGCUUGCUUUGCAGGAAACAGCACAUCUCUGGCAGGCAGAUAUGCUGCUUCCCCAGGGCAUAACCCCAGUCCCCAGCAUGGGCCAGUGCCUGGGGGAUACACACAUCAGUGUGACUGAACAGCCCAGGAGCACAGUGCAUGCAGGAUACACAGACUGCCUUCAAAAGUUGACCGCUCACCGAAAGCAAAUCUGUACUUCUGUAUGAAAAAAUCUUUGGGUGGAAUUUGGGCUUGUGCAUUCGGUCUGAAAGAAAAAAAAAAAGAAAACAUGCAAUAGAAUCUCAACAGUAAUUAUUAAGGUGCUGCAUUCGUACGGGCCUUUUACUCUCUAGAUGACAACUUUAGCAAACAGGCUGUUUUCACUGAUGACCAUUUUGUGUCAUAGACAACAACUGCAAAUUAGAACAGAAACUGGUGUGAAAACAUCUCUGAUCCUAUUGUCCAUGCAGGCAGGUACCUCCAGGCUACCCCUACAGAUACAGUGAAAUGAACUCACCACGUGAGUAAAAUCUCACAUAGUGUCUGCUGCAUCUAGGUUUACUAGUGCUAUUUCUCUUUUACUUCUCUUUUUUUAUAGCAGUUCUUGUUCUCUGCCCACAGAAUAUUAAAUGGCAACUGUUUAAGAGAUUCUAAUAAAAUACCUCCUGCAAAGAAAAAGAAGUGGAGCACUUGCCUCUUUCAGUCUUUUGAUGACAUACACCAUGUUGUGCCUCUGACCUUUGUAGACAUCUGCAAAAGUGCCUUCACAAAUUCUAUUCUUGCCACUGAACCCAUCUGUGGCAUUAGUAACUUCUUUCUGAGUCCACAGAAGACUUCCACUGGGGAGAUCAGUCAUCGUCUCCUGCUGAGGAGUAGAAGAGCUGCAGGGCUACAGGUUGGAAGAAGAAACAAGUUAAUCUCAUAAACAUUUGCAUGCUUUCUCCAUCUCUUUCAGGCAUCAUAUUUCUUUUCCAUGAGCUAAAUGAGUGUUGUGAUUGUUGAAAGAAAUUGUGAAAGGUACUGCGCAAUCACUCGGUAUGCUUUCCCUUUGUAACACCUGUGUUGAUUUGUCUUGCUGACAGAAAUAUUCUUCACAGUAGGAACACCUGAAAACAGCUAAUCUGCAUUUCCAUCCUUCCCAAACAACCGAGUUAGUUUUCUUUAGAAGUCCUCAUACGUACUUGAAGUGACAUCAGUUUAAGCCACAAAACCCAUUAAUCUCUAUGCCUGAGGCAUAUAUCAUGGUACUGGAUCAGAAAGGAGUGUUUAUCAUGCUAUAAUGUAUUUAUUUUCUCCUAAGAAUUGCACAGCUCCUUCUGAGGUGGUUGCAAAAUAGUUGCUUCCAGUCAGACAAGUCCUAAUGCCACUUGUUAUUAUAAUUCCACUAUAGCCUACACAUAAUCAUACAGCUUUCACAACCUUAAUUUACUCCAGACCUGAGAAAACAAAACCUUAACUCCCCCUCAGAAAAUUCUGAAACUGCUGUGUUCUCUGUAGCAAUCUUCUCGUACUGCUGUUACUCUUGAACCACAUCACCUUGGACGAGUUAAAAGUCUUAAAGCACAAUCUUCUUUAGGAAAAAAAAUUCAAAUAAAAUAAAAGGAAAAAAGAGGUCAAUACAGGACUAGAAUGAGACCAGAGUGCACACAUGGAUCUGGGAAACACACUCUGAAAAAGUACAGGAUGGUUCCAUCUAGAUGGUCUUGUAGAUAAGAGAGCUAUAGUGAGGAAUAACAGAAGACUAUGUUGAAAUCACCAGGAGCAUGAGAAAAACAGCUCACAGCAGGAUGGCUGAGCCUUGGGAUGGGGCUCAGAGGGAUGGCAGAUUUUCAGUUUUCAACUAGAUAAGGCUCCGGGCAACAUGACCUCAACUUGACACUGGCCCAGUUUUCAGCAAGAACCACAUUUUAAAUUUAAACUAAAAGUGUGACAUUCCAACUAGUCUGUCUGUACUGCCCUAUGAUCCCAUUAGAAAUUUUGGAGUCUGCUGCAAAAUCUAUACUGGAAAUUCCUUCAAGUUAAUUGCUAUUCGUGGGCAUGUUAGCCAUGCUAAGCUAUGUAGCACUGUUAAAUGUAUCCCUCACUAGUCCCUCAUUGGCAAAAAAAGAAAAGAAAAAGAGAAGUGAAGCAAAAUUUAAGUAAUUAGUACUAUAUUCAGUCUAAACAUAAAGUUGAGGAAUAAACUUUAAUUGAAAAACACAGGAUGUCAGAAAGUAAAUUCUUAAUGUUAUAAUCAAUGAGAACUAAAGGGAUUUACCUUCACACUUGAUGAGACAGAAGGAUUUGACUGUAAGGAUUUCAAAAGGUCUCUUGGGGGAGGUGGUGGAGAAGGAAGUGAAUACAAGGUUCCUUCAGAAACAGCAUCUGAAAUUGAAUUAGCAGCACUGAUAAUACACCUCUUUUUUGUGACAUUGCUUCCACUGACUCAUUAUAAGCAUCCAGGAUGCUUUGCUGAAAUGCCUAACCAUGUAUAACCUAUGACAGGCUGUAAAAACAUGAAAUGCCAUAUAAAGACAUGGAGCUAUUGUCCUGGUUCCUCUUUGUGAGAUGACUGUGAAGAUCUCUCCAGCCCUGGAUCAGGGACAUGGAGCAUCCAGAGCCUUUGCCAGCACUGCUGCUCAAAUGCUCUCCUCAGCACAACAUGGUUCUGCUCCCUCUCCCAACAGAGCUGCUUGCUGGUGCAUGCACAGCUCUUCUGUGGCCCAGACUUAUGUUGUAUGGAGAGAGGGACUGGGGGCAUGAAGUGUAUGCACAGAUCCAGUGUAAGCAUGGUGCUGGUGCUCACACAGACCUGGGAGAAGUACUCCUGAGAUCCCACAGCACCUCUCAAAGCCAGGAGAGGUACAGAAAGGAAGAACAGGUGGCUGCAUGAUCAAGCUAGGAAUUGACAGCUCAGGAGACAGUAGUGCUAGGUGAAAGCAAAUAUUCAAUUGGGACCAUUUUGAACAGGAAUGCAUUCAUUUAUACUAAAGUGAAAGUAUAAAGCAUUCUUGUCUAUAUGGUCAUUUCAUUGUUACAGAAAAUCAGAUUAUAUUAUUUUACUUACUACAUGCUGGUGAUAUUCCUGGUUGUGAAAGGUCUGAUGAUGGCAGCAGACUUAUCUCAUUUUCUUUCUCUUUGUGUUUGUUUUCUGUGGGAGUUAAAGAUACGUUCUCUUGUUUAGGUGGCUCUACCAGCUCUUCUUUUUCAGAGGUGCUAAUGCUAGAGGGUGAUAUCCAGUCCAGGAUGACCUGAGCCGCCCGGUAGAGCUGCAGCGCCUGCAGCAGGUCCAGCAGCUGCCGCACGGUCGCCAGCCUCACACCCCACCACCACAUCAGCUCGCGGGUGAUGCUGAUCCCUGUCUUCUCCAUGCAUUUGAUCUUCCGCAGCUCGGUCUGGUCAGUGAUCACGUAGGAGGCGAAGCGCAUCCAGUCGCUGUCGCUGAGGCAGUCCAUCUUCUGGCAGAAGUCCUCCAGCACCCAGGCCGGCAUGCUGUGCACGUAGGGGGACGGCGGCGCCAUCUCCUCGCGGCGCCCCGGCCCGCCCGCGGCCAUCAGCUGCCGCGCGUGGCCCCACGGAGCGCCGGCUGCGGGCGGGCCGGGCGGGAG